ACCUGGAGCUGAUGGCAGAUGCCAUAGAGGCAGGGCUUGGUAUGCUCUUUGACGUAUGUUCCAUUUCCCCAAUUUGACUGUCAACUUGCAGAGGCCAGGGACACUACUGUAUCUAUAGCACUGUCCACAGGGACCCACCCAAAUGCUGUGCUCAUAAGUUACCAUUUAUCAAACUCUUAUGUGCAGUCACUUUGCUAAGUGCUUUACAUAAUGCAUUUCAUAAUCAUCCCCACUUCACAGGUGGGGAGACUGAGUCACAGAGACAUGAAGUCUCACAGGCUGGAAGCAGCAGAGCUGGGCUCGAAACCGGGUAUCUGCCUCCCUGGUUUUAGUCCUUAGGAACUGUGCUAGAUGUAUUUAUAGUUGGGGGAGGGGGCCCUUUGCCCAGGAAGUUUGUCAGACCCCACCGCCCACCGCCAAGAAACCACAACUGGAGGACAGCCCAGCCCAAGAAGGCUGCCUGCUGGCUAUAGGUAGGUUUAAGAGGGAUAAAAUUAUUUUUAGGGAGAGUAUCGUAAAAUGAUAUGAUUUUGAGAGGGUGCAGAGAAGUGGGGAAUAUGACUUACAGUCACUGGCUUGCCCAGUUUACGGCUUUAAUUAAUCUGAAACUGCAACAUAGAUUUUUAUGAUUAGUAGGGACAUCUCAGUGAGCAGAGAAAGAACCUUUAACGAUAAUCUCAAGAUGAAUCUGGGAGAUGAAAUAUCCAUGCAAUAAACAAGGCGGUGUUCGAGGGAGUCAAGUAAAUGUAAAUCCCAGGCCAUCAGAACAGUAUCCGUCAUCAGAACAGUAUCCUUGGACCUGUCCCUUGCAGAAGAAACAGCCAUCCUUGAACCAAGGGCAGGACUGCACGGAGGCUGGGUCAAGUUCAAUGAGUUAUUCUUUGUAUGCGUGACCAAGGAGGCCCAGCCAGGGAGCAGGGGCACUGAGUCAGUUCCCUGCUCCUUGGUCUUUUGGUCUGGAUCUGUCCCACUGUCAUUGUCACUUUCAAGGAUCAGCUCCUUAGGGAGGGCCUGAACCAAUUCUUUGGAGGCUUCACCUUUCUCACCACUGCUGCGGAAGCUGAUGGACCAGGAGAGUUGCCUGUUGCCCUGAAGAUGCUAAUCUACUGGUUUGUGUUUUAUGAAGCCAUACCCCAGAGCCAGUGAACUGAGAAAGAAGAGGUUAGGGGAGAGAGAGGUGAGCUGUGGUUAUGCAAACAUCUCCCCCUCCAUGAAAUUUGUUGAAGUAACUGCCCACUUCAAAACCCCUUUUGGAUAAUUUUAUGGACUGAAUGUUUGCCCCACUUCCCUGGAUUCAUAGCCCUACCCCCUCCAUGUGACUACAUUUGGAGAUGGGCCAUCCAAGGAGGUAAUUAAGGUUAAGUGAGGUCAUAAGGAUUGCCAGCUACCAUCUUGUUUCAUGACAGCUAAUGACUGGCUGGACCAGAGAUUGGUACCAGGCUGUAUCUGAAGUCUUUUAGGAAAGUACCAAGCUUGGCAUAAGUCAAGCACUUCAUUUUGGUUUAUUCCAGAAUGAAAAGUCCAUAAACUGGGUAUUAUCAAUACCCUCAUUUUAUAGAUGAUUUUCUGAGUGGCACGUAGUGGGAGCCUGCACUCCUACCCACCUCCAGUUCCUGCUCUGGCUCCCUGGAGUGACAAGAAAGAGCAAGCUGGGGGAUGGGUAGGGGACAUGCCCCUUGGGAGGCUCUCCCAGCCUCCUGCAGGACCAAGGUAACCUUGGGUCUGAUGAAACAGUGUUGCUCCAAGUGGUGCUACCUGCCACCUCUGACACAUACGCCCUCCCAGUAAUGGCAUGGCGUGUAUCCCUUCUGAAAAUGAAAUUAUCAGGGAGCGCCUUAGGUGCAAAGGAAUGUAUGAAUUCCUCAAAAACAAAACAUUAGUCACUGGCAUUUCUUGAGGGCUUACUAUGUGCCGAGCACCAUAUAUUUACUGUUUCAUGUAAGUCACACAAUAGUCCUCUGAGUUAGGUGUCACUAUUAUCCCCACUUUAUGAAAAAGGAAAUUAAAGCUGAGAGAGGUUAAGAAACCUGCCCAAAGUCGAAGAGAAUUUAAUUGGUUUUGUAUGAGUGGGAGGACCUUGGGUAACUAAGACAGUUUGAAAUUGGACAUCAAGCCCACUUUACAGCAGGGCUGUCCAAAGAGAUUUGUCCCUUCAUAGGUAGUGAGAUUCUUAUCACUACAGGCAGUUCAGCAGAAGGGAGACCCUCCCUGGAUGGGGAUGACAUGACAGAGCUGUAGCUUUGGGUGCUUUAACCCAGUUUGGGUUAAACUGGAUAGAUUUGAAGGCCCUUUCAAAUCCAAGUCGCCUCUCUUUUGAAACAGUUUGUGUGGAGUGUCACCCAGUCCUGUUGGUGAGCGCCAGACGGGUAGGGCACAGAGGAAGGCGGAUAUGUUGGAGACACGGAUUGUCCUGUGCAGUUAACCGUUCUCAGAUUGACUGACCAUCACCCUAAUCCAGUCUGUGUUUUCACUUCUCGGUAAGCCUACAUGGGGAGUUCAAUCUCCGCUUGAACCUCUCAGGGAUGGAGAGGCUACUCAAGGCCACUCCCCAAGACUGAAAACCUGGCCUCAUGAUAUUCCUUUAGAAACAUCUGGUCUACCUGCCUUCGGGCAGCUCAGACAUCUGCCUCCACCUGCAUUUUGGUGUGCCUGGAAGUGGGCGAGGUGUGCUGGCUUGGGAAGACUGGCUUGGGGAGGUGGUCCCUUUGGGAGGAGGAUGGAGGAGCAGAGAGGAGAGAGAGGCAAGAGAACCUCCAACACCAUCCACUCUCUCCUCUUUCCAUUCCUUCUAGGAGCCAGGAAGCUGGUUCCGCGACUUUUGUAGCUUUCGAAAGGUGGUAUUUAUUUAAUCCCCUGAAAUUUCAGCUGACUCUGGGCAGGGAAGUGACUGUCCUUAACUUGUGUGCUCAGUCACAAAUGUCCACUUGCCUGUUACCAUGUGCUUGCUGGGCUGAGAGUCAAUAAUUUCCAGGACUUGGAGCACCAGCUCCCACAAGGUGUCGGCUUUACAAGUAUCUUAAAAUCCCCUAGUUACAACCAGAAGCCCAGCCAAAAUUAAGCAGGGCCUCAUGUUGGAGCAAAAAAGAAUAGAUUCUGUUUGCACCCAUGCUUACAUGAGUCUGGGCCACAUUCACUGUGAUAUAUUUUCACAUAUGACUUGGUCGCAGAGGUGUGCGGCUUCAGAACUGGACUCUGGCCUCAUGUUGUUGCCUCAGAAGGCCUUGUAUCUCCACCUUCAUUUUACAGAACGCAGGUCUAGAGCCAGGCCAGGCUGUCAGCCUGGGGUUCAUGAACUCCUCAAGAUUCUGCGGGAUUUGAUUCUAGGUCAGUCGUUCUAUGAAAGCUCCAAGAAUCUGCACUUUAAAAUAAGGGCCGCUGGAAUUCCCUGGUGGCUCAGCGGGCUAAGGAUCCAAUAUUUUCACUGCUGUGGCUCUGACUACAGCUGUGGCAUGGGUGUGAUCCCAGCCUAGGAACUUCUGCAUGCCAUGGGUAUGGCCAAGAUAAAAAAUUAAGACAAAAUAAAAUAAGGGCCCCAAGUGAUGUUUAUAAUUUUGGGAAAACUGAAUUAAGGAACUCCUGAGAUAUUAGUGGCUAAAGUGGGGCUAGACACGAGGCCUCAUGCCUCUGCUCACAUUACAUGUGUGUGUGCAGAUGAGGGAGUUGGCCUGGACACAUGAGGGUUUGCGCAGGUGUAUCUGCCUCCAUAGACGGCUGCUACCCUCCUGGCUCACAGUUCACGGGGAAAAGUCAGUCGGGCCCAGAACACGGGUGAUGAAGGGAUUCGCCAUACAGAGGUCUUCCCGUUUACACCUCUGCCUUCCAGCCCUUAGUUGUUUGCAUUAUCUAAACCCAGCCCUGAUUGCUUUCCUCUCUGGGAGUCAGGCCUGCGCUGAGUCAGGGAGAGUUAGGAGUGAUUUGAACUCAUCUCCAUCUGCCUGUAGGCUUCAGUUUCUCCUGAUGUGAAAUAGGAGAGGCUGACUUGAAACCACAAACCACCGAAUAAAAUCAAAACCUAGGAGUUCCCAUUGCGGCUCAGUGGGUUGAGAACCCAACUAGUAUCCAUUAGGAUGCGGGUUCAAUCCCUGGCCUUGCUCAGUGGGUUAAGGACCCAAUGUUGCCAUGAGCUGUGGUGUAGGUCCAAGACAUGGCUUGGAUCUGGUGUUGCACUGUGGCUGUGAUACAGACCAGCAGUUGCAGCUCUAAUUUGAUCCCUAGC
rnacentral:lncRNA from 1 species